rnacentral:rRNA from 1 species
UGGGGAAUAUUGGACAAUGGGCGAAAGCCUGAUCCAGCCAUGCCGCGUGUGUGAAGAAGGCCUUUUGGUUGUAAAGCACUUUAAGCGAGGAGGAGGCUACUUAGAUUAAUACUCUAGGAUAGUGGACGUUACUAGCAGAAUAAGCACCGGCUAACUCUGUGCCAGCAGCCGCGGUAAUACAGAGGGUGCGAGCGUUAAUCGGAUUUACUGGGCGUAAAGCGUGCGUAGGCGGCUUUUUAAGUCGGAUGUGAAAUCCCUGAGCUUAACUUAGGAAUUGCAUUCGAUACUGGGAAGCUAGAGUAUGGGAGAGGAUGGUAGAAUUCCAGGUGUAGCGGUGAAAUGCGUAGAGAUCUGGAGGAAUACCGAUGGCGAAGGCAGCCAUCUGGCCUAAUACUGACGCUGAGGUACGAAAGCAUGGGGAGCAAACAGG